rnacentral:rRNA from 1 species
CAGUAGCCGCGGUAAUACAGAGGGUGCGAGCGUUAAUCGGAUUUACUGGGCGUUAAGCGUGCGUAGGCGGCUUUUUAAGUCGGAUGUGAAAUCCCUGAGCUUAACUUAGGAAUUGCAUUCGAUACUGGGAAGCUAGAGUAUGGGAGAGGAUGGUAGAAUUCCAGGUGUAGCGGUGAAAUGCGUAGAGAUCUGGAGGAAUACCGAUGGCGAAGGCAGCCAUCUGGCCUAAUACUGACGCUGAGGUACGAAAGCAUGGGGAGCAAACAGGAUUAGAUACCCGUGUAGUCCCUGUCUCUUAUAC